UUCUUUUUCCACCGGAGCUUGCUCCACCGGAAAAAGAAGAGUGGCGAACGGGUGAGUAACACGUGGGUAACCUGCCCAUCAGAAGGGGAUAACACUUGGAAACAGGUGCUAAUACCGUAUAACAAUCGAAACCGCAUGGUUUUGAUUUGAAAGGCGCUUUCGGGUGUCGCUGAUGGAUGGACCCGCGGUGCAUUAGCUAGUUGGUGAGGUAACGGCUCACCAAGGCCACGAUGCAUAGCCGACCUGAGAGGGUGAUCGGCCACAUUGGGACUGAGACACGGCCCAAACUCCUACGGGAGGCAGCAGUAGGGAAUCUUCGGCAAUGGACGAAAGUCUGACCGAGCAACGCCGCGUGAGUGAAGAAGGUUUUCGGAUCGUAAAACUCUGUUGUUAGAGAAGAACAAGGAUGAGAGUAACUGUUCAUCCCUUGACGGUAUCUAACCAGAAAGCCACGGCUAACUACGUGCCAGCAGCCGCGGUAAUACGUAGGUGGCAAGCGUUGUCCGGAUUUAUUGGGCGUAAAGCGAGCGCAGGCGGUUUCUUAAGUCUGAUGUGAAAGCCCCCGGCUCAACCGGGGAGGGUCAUUGGAAACUGGGAGACUUGAGUGCAGAAGAGGAGAGUGGAAUUCCAUGUGUAGCGGUGAAAUGCGUAGAUAUAUGGAGGAACACCAGUGGCGAAGGCGGCUCUCUGGUCUGUAACUGACGCUGAGGCUCGAAAGCGUGGGGAGCAAACAGGAUUAGAUACCCUGGUAGUCCACGCCGUAAACGAUGAGUGCUAAGUGUUGGAGGGUUUCCGCCCUUCAGUGCUGCAGCUAACGCAUUAAGCACUCCGCCUGGGGAGUACGACCGCAAGGUUGAAACUCAAAGGAAUUGACGGGGGCCCGCACAAGCGGUGGAGCAUGUGGUUUAAUUCGAAGCAACGCGAAGAACCUUACCAGGUCUUGACAUCCUUUGACCACUCUAGAGAUAGAGCUUCCCCUUCGGGGGCAAAGUGACAGGUGGUGCAUGGUUGUCGUCAGCUCGUGUCGUGAGAUGUUGGGUUAAGUCCCGCAACGAGCGCAACCCUUAUUGUUAGUUGCCAUCAUUCAGUUGGGCACUCUAGCAAGACUGCCGGUGACAAACCGGAGGAAGGUGGGGAUGACGUCAAAUCAUCAUGCCCCUUAUGACCUGGGCUACACACGUGCUACAAUGGGAAGUACAACGAGUCGCGAAGUCGCGAGGCUAAGCUAAUCUCUUAAAGCUUCUCUCAGUUCGGAUUGUAGGCUGCAACUCGCCUACAUGAAGCCGGAAUCGCUAGUAAUCGCGGAUCAGCACGCCGCGGUGAAUACGUUCCCGGGCCUUGUACACACCGCCCGUCACACCACGAGAGUUUGUAACACCCGAAGUCGGUGAGGUAACCUUUUGGAGCCAGCCGCCUAAGG
rnacentral:rRNA from 1 species